rnacentral:rRNA from 1 species
UUUGAGGCUAAUACCGGGUAGGAGAAUUAUAUUGGAAUAUUUUUUCUCUUAAAAGUAAUGCCUAAGGAUGAGAUGGCGGCCGAUUAGGUUGUUGGUGGUGUAAUGGACCACCAAGCCAAUGAUUGGUAGGGGCCUUGAGAGAGGUAGCCUCGAGAAGGGCACUGAGAUACUGGCCCUAGCCCCACGGGGUGCAGCAGGCGCGAAACCUUUACAAUGCACGAAAGUGUGAUAGGGGAACCCUAAGUGCUUUACUUACGUAAGGCUUUUUCUAAGGGUAAAGUCCUUAGAGAAUAAGUGGUGGGCAAGACUGGUGCCAGCCGCCGCGGUAACACCAGCGCCACGAGUGGUGGCCGCAUUUAUUGGGCCUAAAGCGUCCGUAGCUUGUAUAUUAAAUCUUUUGUGAAAUCGUUACGCUCAACGUAACGGAGUGCAGGAGAGACUGGUAUGCUUGGGACUGGAAGGAGUCAGAGGUAUUAGUGGGGGAGCGGUAAAAUGUUAUAAUCCCACUAAGACCACCUGUGGCGAAGGCGUCUGACUAGUACAGAUCCGACGGUGAGGGACGAAAGCCAGGGGAGCGAUCCGGAUUAGAUACCCGGGUAGUCCUGGCUGUAAACGCUGCGAGCUAGGUGUUGCAUAUUCCUCGUGAUUAUGCAGUGUCGAAGCGAAGGUAUUAAGCUCGCCGCCUGGGAAGUAUGGUCGCAAGACUGAAACUUAAAGGAAUUGGCGGGGGAGCACCACAAGGGGUGCGGCGUGCGGUUUAAUCCAAUUCAACACGGAGAAUCACACCAGAGGCGACGGUAGGAUGAAGGUCAGUCUAAAGGGCUUACCAGACAAGCCGAGAGGUAGUGCAUGGCCGCCGUCAGCUCGUGCCGUAAGGUGUCCUGUUAAGUCAGGCAACGAGCGAGACCUGUACUUACUAUUGCUAACGGCCAAUUUUUUGGGACUGAGCACAUUGUAAGAACUGCCUUGGAAACAAGGAGGAAGGCGCAGGCAACGGUAGGUCUGUAUGCUCCGAAUCUUCUGGGCUACACGCGCGCAACAAUGGUAAAGACAAUAGGAUGCCACUCCGAAAGGAGAAGCUAACCCCAUAAACUUUAUCUUAGUUCAGAUUGAGGUUUGUAACUCAGCCUCAUGACGUUGGAAUCCCUAGUAAUCAGAUGUUAUCAGCGUCUGGUGAAUAUGUCCCUGCUCCUUGCACACACCGCCCGUCAAACCACCCGAGUCGGGUCUUGAUGAGGCUUAGUUUUCAAUUAAGUCGAAUCAGGGCUCAGCGAGGAGGGUUAAGUCGUCACAAGGUA